AAAAGUAAUUGCGGUUUUUGCUAUUGGUUUUAAUGGCAAUUACUUUUGCACCAG
rnacentral:miRNA from 1 species